rnacentral:rRNA from 1 species
AGAAUGAACGCUGGCGGCGUGCUUUACACAUGCAAGUCGAGCGAGGCGUGUAGCAAUACACAGCCCUAGCGGCGAACGGGUGAGUAACGCGUGGAUGACCUGCCCUUCAGCGGGGAAUAACCCGGGGAAACUCGGGCUAAUACCGCAUACGACCGAGAGGUGAAAGGGGGCCGCAAGGCUCUCACUGGAAGGAGGGGUCCGCGUUCGAUUAGCUAGGUUGGUAGGGUAAUGGCCUACCAAGGCGACGAUCGAUAC